UGCCAAUAUUUGGAGUCCAUUGCCAAUCAAAGCAGGGCUCUACAUGCUAGUGUAUCACUUCCACCAGAGCCAGUGCUUACAAGGUGGAAUUUGUGGUUUAACAUAGUUCAUUACCAUGC